rnacentral:rRNA from 1 species
UACGGAGGGAGCUAGCGUUGUUCGGAAUUACUGGGCGUAAAGCGCACGUAGGCGGCGAUUUAAGUCAGAGGUGAAAGCCCGGGGCUCAACCCCGGAAUAGCCUUUGAGACUGGAUUGCUUGAAUAUUGGAGAGGUGAGUGGAAUUCCGAGUGUAGAGGUGAAAUUCGUAGAUAUUCGGAAGAACACCAGUGGCGAAGGCGGCUCACUGGACAAUUACUGACGCUGAGGUGCGAAAGCGUGGGGAGCAAACAGG